UACAGAGGUCCCAAGCGCUGUUCGGAUUCAUUGGGCGUAAAGGGUGCGUAGGCGGUGGGGUAAGUUGGAUGUGAAAUCUUGGGGCUUAACCUCAAAAUUGCAUUCAAUACUGCUCCGCUCGAGUUCUGUAGAGGAGAUUGGAAUUUACGGUGUAGCAGUGAAAUGCGUAGAUAUCGUAAGGAACGCCAGUGGCGAAAGCGAAUCUCUGGGCAGCAACUGACGCUGAGGCACGAAGGCCAGGGGAGCAAACGGG
rnacentral:rRNA from 1 species